CACGCCGUAAACGAUGAGUACUAGGUGUAGGAGGUAUCGACCCCUUCUGUGCCGCAGUAAACACAAUAAGUACUCCGCCUGGGAAGUACGAUCGCAAGAUUAAAACUCAAAGGAAUUGACGGGGGCCCGCACAAGCAGCGGAGCAUGUGGUUUAAUUCGAAGCAACGCGAAGAACCUUACCAAGGCUUGACAUAUAGAGGAAACGGCCAGAGAUGGUCGCCCCGCAAGGUCUCUAUACAGGUGG
rnacentral:rRNA from 1 species